UAUGAACUAUUUUAAUUAUAUAAAUGUAAAAAACCUACAAAGGCAUUUUUGCGGUCUACAAUAUAGAAUGCCUUGAAUUUGGAGUUUUAAUAGACUAAAUCAAGUGCGUGCACACUGAUAUACUCGAGAAUGUCAGAUCACACAUCAUUACAACAACACUUACCAUAUAAAUCGCACACCCCAGCCUCGACUUGUGUGGAACAUGAAAUCGACCGUGGUGUGUGAGCACUUGUUUGCACGUGAGCAAAAGUGUUUUUAGGAGUCUAACUCACAAGCGCCAGACCACUGAUUCGUCAAAUCUGCUUGCUUGCAGUCUGUGUUCUUCCGACUUUAUUUUGUAGUAAGUAACGAAUAUGCUUCGGGGAAAUGCAUCGGAGUAAAAUAAUACAUUUCAAUUAGGAAAUGUGAAAGUUGACAGAAAUAUAAAAACCCAAGUAAAGUAUAGAUACUCCUGUAGGGUAUCAGAGCGAAUCAGACAAUUUAAGAAGCCCAUGACAACAGGAUGUUCGUAAAUCAGAUCCUAGCGCCAGUCAGUCUGAAGCAAGCCUAACCAACCAACUCUUUCACAGAACAGCUUCCAACAUUAACACAAAAUAACACUUAUUGAUAAUCCCAACUCAGGAAGGAAAUUGUCAAAUUUGGGGCAAGUAACCAAGAUGAAUGGUCAAAGAGAAGCACAGCAUGACCAUCACAUGUAAAUCCAUUAUAUAAAUCAUGAUCAAUAUCUUUUAAAAUUCAUUACUUAAUCUUAUCUUGCUUAUCUUGCAUUUUCUUUAAUAUUCUUCUUCUUCUCUGCACCAGUUUUAUAGUUCCACCUCUUCAUUUCCAAACAUUAAUGUGCACAACUGAGAAGGAAACCUUUUAUAAUUCUAAUUAUUUUAUAUAGUUGUAACUAGCAAGCAUUAGAGUCUGAACCCUUGACAUGGGGCUCCCUGAUUCCACGGUGGCCCUCGGUGCAACUGCUUAUAUUGUUUAUUAGGUACAGUGACACUGACUUCAGCCAUUAAGGGGCAAAUUGCUUUUUGUGUUUCUAAGCACAAAUACAUUCUUAAUGAUUUUUAUGAUUAACGUUCUGCAUAUUUCCCACAUCCCAAUUCAUUUACAGCAGAAUAAGAGCAAUAUUGGACAUUUAUAGGUUAUUGAGUGAAAAACACUCAAGUCAGAAGGAGUCAGAAGGACACAGGGUAACUGUGUUUCAUAUGUUUUGGGAGAAGUAUUAGCUUUAAAAUUAUCAUUUGAACAGUAUUUUACUGCAUUAUGUACAGUAAUAUACUGUAAAAUGUGUAUACAUUAUUUUACUGUAAACUGCAAAGGAUUAUGGGAAAAUGUAUGGUCACUGCAGUAAACUACUGUAAAUUUACAGUAGUGAACUUGCCCGCGAAAAACUGACCAAUGGCAAGGGAGAUUUAUUUUGUUUGCUGUUUGGUGGAAGCAGUGGUAAAAGGACAAAAGAGACAUUGUUAACUGGACAAAAAGGUUAGUAGGCCUAUAUUAUUUCUGUUUUAUGCAAAACUGAGAUAUUUUAAGAUGUUUUAACUUAUUAACAGCAAAGGAACAUUAUUCAUCGUGUCAUUUUUCAUGUCGGGAGUUGGGGCCUUUUUUUCUGACUGACGGCCGGAUUAACGCCGCCAUAACGGUGAUAACAUCGACUGUUUGUGAUCUUGUGGUCAUGUCGUCUGCAUCGGAGGAGUAUUAGAGUCUUUUCUUGGGAUUGUCGUCGUAACAACAGGAGAUUUCUCCAAGCAAAAACAGGAUCCUGACUAUGAGGGCAGAAUUAGGUUCAUUCAGAUCUUUGUGGCACCAAAUGCAUUGAAAGUCACAGGUCAGCUGGAAUUCUGGAAAGAGGGUGCAAAGAAAAAGGAUCUGUCUGAAUCCCAUCCUGCUGUUUCUCAUCGGAGAGCUUGUCAACUUUGACUGUCAAAAUUACUGAAAUUUAACACAACAACACAAACUAAUUUUUACUGUAUUAUUUGAUUUUUAUUAACACUACCAGUCAAAAGUUUUUGAACAGUAAGAUUUUUAAUGUUUUUAAAGAAGCCUCUUCUGCUCACCAA